CCCCGGUGUCGGACGAGGAGGAAGAGGAGGACGAGGAACAGCAGGACGGAGGCCACCGAGACCCCGAUCAGGACGUUCAGGCAUUGAGGUUGUAUCCAUAUCCUGGCUAAUGUGAAUAAGGCUGCAGUGAACAUAGGAGUGCAGAUAUCUCUCUGAGAUCGUGGUUUCAUCUGCUUUGGAUAUAUACCCGGAAGUGGAAUUGCCGGCUCAUAUGGUUUCCCUUUGGCUGGUGCCCUAAGCCCACCACCUGCAGGGGCCUGGGUCACCCCGUUCCCUACUCACCCGACUG